CACGUAGUUAGCCGGGGCUUCUUGGUCAGGUACCGUCCGGCUGCCCCUUCCGGGGCAGUUUGUCUUCCCUGCUGAUAGAGCUUUACGCGCCGAAACGCUCCUUCACUCACGCGGCGUCGCUGCAUCAGGGUUUCCCCCAUUGUGCAGUAUCCCCCACUGCUGCCUCCCGUAGGAGUUUGGGCCGUGUCUCAGUCCCAAUGUGGCCGUCCACCCUCUCAGGCCGGCUACUGAUCGUCGCUUUGGUAGGCCGUUACCCUGCCAACUGGCUAAUCAGACGCGGGCCCAUCCCGUACCGCCCUCGCGGGCUUCCCGCACAUAGGCAUGCGCCUUUGUGCGCUCAUGCGGUAUUAGCACCUAUUUCAAGUGUCAUCCCCCUGUACAGGGCAGGUUCGCCCACGCGUUACUCCACCCGUCCGCCACGUAGGAUGGCACUUGUCUGGUCAUAGUAAACUCUCCCCUCGCAUCGUACCACUCCCCGUUCGACUUGC
rnacentral:rRNA from 1 species